CUCUCUGUUAAUCUCAUUGCAUUAUCUUAUUCACUUUCCUCAGGUUGAACCAGAUGUUGGAGAUAAAAUUCCUCAUAGAAAAAAAAUUCACAGUCUUUUUCACUCUCACUCUCUCGAGAUCUCAAACAAUUUUGAUCGGUUUCUUCCGCCAUGAUCCGCUGAAACACGUCGUCGUUGGCGAGAAUGGAAGGACUCUAACGUCUUCGGCGACGAUGCCUUCGCCGCGAUCUGCAACAAGUACGACCGAUACGGCAUCGACAAGUAGAAGGACUCUAAUGUCUCCGGCGACGAUGCCUUCGCUCGCCUCUACUCUGCCAUCGAGUUCAACAUUGAAGCUGCUCUUCAGAAAGCGGAGCUUGCUUCAAAAGAGAAAAGUAGGGCAUUUGCAGUUGCUCUGAAUGCCGUGAUUCGCCGGACCAAGGCUUGAUUGCUUAAAGAGGUUCCCAAGUUGCAGAGAUUGGCUGUAAAGAAGGUUAAAGGGCUUUCAUUUGAAGAGUUUGCUGCUCGUAAUGAGUUGGUUGUAAGGUUUGUUUACAGAAAAAGACAAAACUGGAAGAAACCACAGUUUUGCUUGGGAAAAAAAAA